CAGCCCCGCCCGUCUUCCUGCCGCCAGCCGGGCCAGGCUGUGUCUGCGCCGCGCGCGCGCUCCGGACCCCGGCGCUGCUGGGUCCCCGCCCCCCCCCCCCAGCCUCCCCCGCUGCCAGGCCCUCUGCCCCUGAGCCGGGUGCCGGGUCUCCGAUCCCCGUGCCCUGGCCGAGCUUUUAGCCAGCCCCUCCAGCUCGACCCAAGCCCACUGAGACCAGAGCGGCCACAACCGUCUGGAGCCCCAGUCGGGACCCCAGCCGGGACCCCGCCAGGGCGACGCGAUCUUCUCAGACCAGGCUGCACCGGGUGCCAGGUCCUCCCAGGAGCAGGUGGCUCUGCCUGAGGCCUGAGGCCAGGCACCGGAACCCCACACCUGAUUUGUGACUUCAGAGAGCACCUCUCAGCAGCCGGGGCCGGGCAGAGACCAGAGCAAAGGCCUUUACCGAACGCUGGUUCAAGCACAAGGGAACCACCCGCCGUGUUCACUCCCCAGACACACACUGACGUGCCUGUCCCUGCAGAGGGUCGGGGACUGAGGGCCCGGAGGUUGCUCUCCAGGCUCGCCGCCACGUCCCCCUUGAGGAAGAGCAUGCGUCUGACUUAGAAGGGCCAGCAAAGUGCCCCGGGGGGGCUCACUGGUUUUCACGCAGCCAGCACCCCAGCAAAGGCGCCAGCUCAGCUCACGGGGCCAACCAACCGGACGGCGUCCUUCACAAGAGCAUCUCCGGAGCUUUCUCCUGAGUUGCCGGCAUCUUGAAAAGCCGCUUCAGCAAGAAACCUCCAACAUCCC